AGAAUGGUCCAUUGUUUCAAUCACGUCAUUGAAAUCAAAAUGGCUGUCAGCAGCUUCUUACUGUGCUUCCCUGACGAGCCGGGUAAGGAUAUAUAUUGACUGUUUGUUUUCGUAAGCACUUGAGGGUAUAGUUGAGUUAGUUGACCGGUUGUAGUUUGGAAACCUCAAAGGCGGGCUAGCUGCAUGACCUUCCGCCACCAAGACUAAUCUCAAAGCAGGACUUUGGCCAUCUCCCUCGAUAUAAUUAAUUGUUGAAGGGCCUUGAAGGU